AUGAACGCUGGCGGCGUGCCUUAGGCAUGCAAGUCGAAUGAUCCAUCGCAAGAUGGGGAAUGGCAGACGGGUGAGUAAUAGUAAGGAAUCUACCCCAAAGUGGAGGAUAGCUCGUCGAAAGACGGGGUAAUCCUGCAUAUUCCCGCAAGGGCAAAGGGCAUAACUGCCCGCUUUGGGAAGAGCCUUAUUCCUAUCAGCUAGUUGGUGGGGUAACGGCCUACCAAGGCUAUGACGGGUAGUUGGUGUGAGAGCAUGUACAACCACAAUGGCACUGAGAUACGGGCCAUACGCCUACGGGCGGCAGCAACCAGGGAUAGUCGGCAAUGGGCGAAAGCCUGACCGCGCGACGCCGCGUGAGGGAUGAAGCCUUUCGGGGUGUAAACCUCUUUUGACCCGCCAUCGAGGCGGGUAGAAUAAGCGCCUACUAACUACGU
rnacentral:rRNA from 1 species